rnacentral:rRNA from 1 species
GACGUAGGAGGCGAGCGUUGUCCGGAUUCAUUGGGCGUAAAGAGCACGCAGGCGGUUUGGCAAGUCGGAUGUGAAAACCCGGAGCUCAACUCCGGACCUGCAUCCGAAACUGCCCGACUAGAGGUAGGUAGGGGAGAUCGGAAUUCCUGGUGUAGCGGUGAAAUGCGUAGAUAUCAGGAGGAAUACCGGUGGCGAAAGCGACUCUCUGGACGGCAACUGACGCUGAGGCACGAAAGCGUGGGGAGCAAACAGG